UACGUAGGUGGCAAGCGUUAUCCGGAAUUAUUGGGCGUAAAGCGCGCGUAGGCGGUUCGUUAAGUCUGAUGUGAAAGCCCCCGGCUCAACCGGGGAGGGUCAUUGGAAACUGGCGGACUUGAGUGCAGAAGAGGAGAGUGGAAUUCCAUGUGUAGCGGUGAAAUGCGCAGAGAUAUGGAGGAACACCAGUGGCGAAGGCGUCUCUCUGGUCUGCAACUGACGCUGAGGUGCGAAAGCGUGGGGAUCAAACAGG
rnacentral:rRNA from 1 species